rnacentral:misc_RNA from 1 species
GAUGAAGAACGCAGCGAAAUGCGAUACGUAGUGUGAAUUGCAGAAUUCAGUGAAUCAUCGAAUCUUUGAACGCACAUUGCGCCCUUUGGUAUUCCAAAGGGCAUGCCUGUUCGAGCGUCAUUUGUACCCUCAAGCUUUGCUUGGUGUUGGGCGUCUUGUCUCCAGUCCGCUGGAGACUCGCCUUAAAGUCAUUGGCAGCCGGCCUACUGGUUUCGAAGCGCAGCACAAGUCGCACUCUUUUCCAGCCAAGGUCAGUGUCCAACAAGCCUUUUUUCAACUUUUGACCUCGGAUCAGGUAGGGAUACCCGCUGAACUUAAGCAUAUCAAUAAGCGGAGGA